UCCAGCAAAACCCUAGCUCUGCGGCUGCCUUCACUCACCAGCACCACCACUUAAUCUCUUCUCUUUAACUCUCUCUAUAGGAAAAGAUUGUUGAAUCUGUAGAUCUGAUGUUUAUCAAUAAAAACCCUAACAGGGAUGUUGAAUCACAAAGAAAACUGCAGCUGAGGAAAAAUUCGAUAUUGUAAGGUAUGGUUCUUUUUUGCAUCUUUGUUAGGUUUUCAAUCUCUCGAGGAGUCAUCUUCAUCAAACCAAACUUGAAUUGGGUGUGGAAAAAUGGUUAUCAAGAAGAAAGAAAGUAUGGAUACAAUCUGAAGAGGGGAAGCAGCAGAUUUGGGGUUUGUCAUUGUGACUUAAAAAAUGGUUAAAAUUUUUACAACUUGCAGUAAUUUUAACGGCUCGCCACUGCUUAGAGAUAUUGUUUGGGAUGCUGUAAUUAGUUUCCUUUAGCAAGUCCGGUAGCUAACUAACCCAAUUUUUGUUGCAUGGAAGUUGGUUGUAUGCUUGCAGAUGACUGCAGUAGACGUAUGAUGAUUGAGAUAGGUGGUGACGGUGAUAUACCUCAUGGUGGAAUUAGUAAGGCUUGACUCACAUCACUUCCAAGAGAUGUUGUUUUCUUACCGUUCUAGUAUUUGAUAAUUUCUGCAGGGUAUGUGUUUACAAGAGGGGGAUAUGUGGAACUGUCAAAAAAGCUUUCACUUCCAUUGGUAGUACUCUUGACAGGUAUGAUGGUUUGAUUCUUUCUGUUUGUGGAAAUGGAAGAUCAUUUAUUUUGAUUCUUGAAGCUGGUCCUUCAGCAGAUACAUCUCAGAGCAAAAUUUACUUUGCCCGAAUGAGCACAAAAGUAGGAUUUUGCAGGGUCAGGGUACCGUUUACAUCUUUCCGAGCAGUGAAUCCGGAGGAUCACUCUUUGGACCCAUUCCAUGUACAUACUUUAACCAUACGUUUUGAACCAAGAAAACAGAGGCCUAUAGGACUUGCAGGAGGAAAGCAAGACCUAAGAAGCUUCAACUUGAUAAUCGAAUACAUAAAGGCAUUGCCUUGGUUGUUGGGAAGUUGCUGACUUUGCAACUAAUGCAUUUGGGCCAACUAUUGUGAUCACUCCUUUUGGUGCACUCAGCAUUAUUAUCAGGCACGAAACAAGUUCAUUCCCAAAGUUGUGUACUCUUUCCUCUUCAGUUUUUUGGCUAAGUGUCAUAUUUUCUUGCAUUGCUGCACUUGCAAAACAUAGAAAUAUCUUAUAGAAAAGAAGUCCUUUUCAUUUCUAGUUUUAUUUUUUUGUUCAACAGUUUUUGUAAAGUACCUUGUUUAGCUAAAUUUGCUUCUAGAAUAGAGGUAUCUUGAUUUUGUUGGAUUAA